CUUUUAUUUGUUGUUGAGUCAAGUCAUUGAUGAGCCUUCUGUUUAUUUCAUCUUCAUCCUCCUCUUGCUUCAGGUACCCUGCUCUCGUCAGUCAUCAGCAUGGCUGCACCACAACAACAGUCUUCCCAGCUGAGGAAUCUUUUCCGAAGAAGGAACUUUCUACAAGAGCUCAGUGACGCUGAGCUGAUCAAGAGCUUUGUUUGAGCGGGGACAUGUGCCACCAAACAGUUACUUGCUGGGAGACAGUGGCUAUCCCAGCAAGCCAUGGCUCCUGACACCAUACCAACAACCUCUACCUGGACCUCAAACAAGAUAUAAUAAACCAGACCAGAGUCCAGGAUGCCACCCUGCUUCAUACUAACCACUCUGGCCGGCAUCCCAGAAGUCCCUGUAAGACAAGCCAUUCCAUGUGCUGUGGUGGAGCUUGUGAGGAGUGACCAGCAACAGCAGCAGCAGCAGCAAUAGUAGCAGUCUAACUUGGGUGUGGAGAGAUGCAGACCUAGUGGUAAGAAUCACGAGAAGACAGGCAAUUCCAACACCAGAGGAGAGACCAAGUUUGAGUGUAAGCUGUAUGAUAAAGCUCUUAAAAGUAGAAGUGGAUUGAGGUACCAUAUCCUGCAACACAGUGGUGUAAGGAAUUAUGAGUGUGAAUUCACAAGUGUUGUAAAAAAUAAACAGAAAGUCUCACCUCACGAAAAAUGUUCUGACGCACAGUGAUGUUAGGAGUGUAUAAAGAGUACGGGAAGAAAUUUACCAUGAAAUCUAACUUCACCAGAUACACCUUGACUUUUUGUUGUGUGGCUUCCUUCCAUGAGCUGUUUGAUUCAUUAAUGAUUCCAGGCUACACCUCACAUCUUUGAAACAUCUGGAGUAUCAAGACAUAAGUAAAAUGUGGUAUAUCAUUUAUUUAUCCUAUUUUCUUUAUAUGUACUUAGCAAGGGAGUUCCUGCAUCAUCAGAUAACAAGGGAAACCAUGCAAAUAACAUCAUUUCACUUUGCAACAGUCUAACCCAAUCAUAAUUUUGUUGUUUUUAUUAUUUGUUUAACAAACUUAUGAUGACAAUAAAAACAUAGCACAA
rnacentral:misc_RNA from 1 species